GAUGAACGCUGGCGGCGUGCCUAAUACAUGCAAGUCGAGCGAAGCGGGGACGGGUGAGUAACACGUGGAGACACUCCUAUAAGGCUGGGAUAACUUAGGGAAACCGGAACUCAACAGGAUCCUGCUAGAUGGAUCUGGGCGGCAUUAGCUAGUUGGUAAGGUAACGGCUUACCAAGGCAACGAUGCAUAUCCGACCUGAGAGGGUGAUCUGCCACACUGGAACUGAGAAACGGUCCAGACUCCUACGGGAGGCAGCAGUAGGGAAUAUUCCGCAAUGGGCGAAAGCCUGACGGAGCCACGCCGCGGGAGUGAUGAAGGUCUUCGGAUCGUAAAACUCUUUGAGUAGGGAAGCGGUACCUACAGAGAAAGCCACGGCUAACUCCGUGCCAGCAGCCGCGGUAAUAC
rnacentral:rRNA from 1 species